rnacentral:rRNA from 1 species
GAGCACGUAGGUGGGUUUGUAAGUCAGAUGUGAAAGCCUUCUGUUCAACGGAAGAAUUGCUUCUGAAACUGCAAACCUUGAGUAUAGGAGGGGAGAAUGGAACUUCUGGUGGAGCGGUGAAAUGCGUAGAUAUCAGAAGGAACGCCGGCGGCGAAAGCGAUUCUCUGGCCUAUGUCUGACACUCAGUGUGCGAAAGCUAGGGGAGCAAACGGGAUUAGAUACCCCGGUAGUCCUAGCCGUAAACGAUGGGCACUAAGUAGAGGGGUUUU